AUUAUUAAGCAGCACACCAUUUUCACGCAAUAUGGGGAAGAAAAAGGAUCCCUCUGCUGCCGAAAAGAGUGAAAUAGUUCAAUACCUUGGAUGAUGUAUGAAAACAUUAGAUAUUUCACGAAAGCUUAAUCGUGAUCAUUGCACUAUUAAGAGAUUUGUGGCUGAUUCAGAGCACAGAUGGUUUAAUGCAGAUAAAGGCACAUUGAGGAAGAUUUCUGCCAGAUCCAUGCAUCGGAUCAAG